UGGAAUGAUGUUCACACAUUUCUGUGGGAUUCCAUAGAGGCAUAGCAACUUCCAUAAAGCUGUUUUAUCUGCGGUAUCAAAGGCUUUUUGGACACUUAUAACAUACAUAUAAAGCAGUGACUGCUAUUUCGUUUACAGUUCUACGAUGAUAGUGCAUAUGAUGAAGAGUUUAUGAAUAAACACAACCAACUUUUUGGAGAAUAACUUGACUAGCCUUUUUAAGGCCCCAUCGCCCGAGGAUCUAGCCAUCACCAUUUUUUUUUAGCUUGUGUAAGAAGAACAUGGGAGAACAUGCGAGAAAGGGUCUAUCAAGAACCACUGAAAUCAACAGAAAGACUCCCACUGAUUUCAAUGGCCUCUAGAUCAGGCCCUGAGGCAGCAAAAGAAUACUGUUAUGUUAACCUGACAUCCUACCCCAUACCCACACUAUCUGAUCUUGGAACAGAGCAUCAGAACAAGACAUGACUCCCACUUAGAUAACAGUUCUGAGUUCUAAAUACAACAUAAAUUCAGAGAAGAAGCUCUAGCAAUCAUAAAAUGAUUUAAAAACAGAUUAUUUGGCAAUUUGGUGAAAUGGCAAAGCAAGUAAAUGUAUUAUGAACACUUCUGUCCACAAAAACUUCCUUCAUGCUGUGCCUUUUUUACCUGGGUCCAAUGGGAAACAGGAAGAGAAUGCUACAUGAAGCAUAUAGUACUAAACACCAGAAUAUAGUAGUAGUUUGUGAUAAUUGUACAUUAAUUAAUUGUUACAUUACGAAAGGGUUUCAAUGGAAUUACUUGUCAUAUCCAUACUAUUAUCAAAAAAAUGUACUAUCAUUAAAGAUGUUAGUAUAAGUGGCAAUGGAAAUACAGGUCUGUCGCAUCUUACUCGCAUUUAACAUGCGCGAUUUCAGCUUUACGCGGUCGGCAAAAACAAAAAAAGA